ACAGAACCUCCACAUUUCCAUCCUUUGGAAAGACAAGUUUUAUCCUUAAACAAUAUUUUGAAGUUAUAUAGUGUAAAAAAAUUAAAAUAUAAUUUUAUAGUUCUAGAUCUCUCUAUUUUAUUUAAUUGUUUUACUUGCAUUUACAGACACGGAAAAUUCGUCUGAAACAUGAACAUAUAAUAAAAUGCAUUGAGACUUUCUCCGAACCACAAAACAGAAAGAAACACCGUGUUCACCGAGGAGACGCAUCCUGGAGUAACGUGUGCAAAGACCUGGGAGUGCCAAAUCAUUGUACAAAUCGUAAAACACUUAAUCAUGUUGCUCUGCACUACCAAAAGAGAACCAUGGAAGUCAGACACAAACCCAAAAAUAUCCAUGUUGAAGGUGAUAGUGGGACCUCUGGAGAGAACACAUCUUCUUUGGAUGAAGGAAACACUGGAGAUGUGUCCAUCUGCAAUGGAAGGAAAUGAAUCUCUAUUUGCUCAAACAGGAUGUUGUGGAGGACAGUGAUGACAAUGGCAUUGUCCUAAACAUUUCUCCUGAAUUGAAACAAACUGGUGUCUCCAUCACAAUCGUCUACAUCCCUCGAAAAGGACUGGAGUAGAAAUUCAUCCAACAGAAGUGACAGUAGUAAUGCUGAAGAGGAAUUCUACAAAUGCUCUUUGCCACAGCAGCCAUGUUUGUUUUCAUUGACCAGAAAGACUGGCAAGACCUAAAAAACACAGAAAGGGAGGCUUUUCAAAGGUAUGCAGUGGACUAAUGUUGUAGCCACUGGCAUUAAGUCAGUACACCCAUUUUGCAGUUUUGGAUUUAAGAGGCAGACCAUCAAGACCAGUCAGUCACAGUCUAAGACGGCUGUAUUCUCAUGUACGGCAUACUGCCGUUUUAAGGACUGUCCAGUGAAAGUGGAGGUUAAAGAUGAAAAAAG